rnacentral:lncRNA from 1 species
AUUUUCUGCCUGCUUCUCUGUCAGUCUUCAGGCCCCAGGUCAGUGAGUGGCAAGCCAGGCCCAGAGAGCUCUGGGCCCAUUGGAACAUCCCCUUCUCGGGAGGCUGGAAGGCCAUGGUCAUUCACCUCUCCCCAGCAAGGUGGGACCUGCCCUGGAAGAAGAAACCAGACCAGGCUGGAGAGAGACCCUUCACCCCUUCCAUCGUGAGGAUACAGCAAGAAGGCACCGUCUAUAAACCAGAAAGUGGGCCCUCAAUAGACACUGAAUCUGCCGGUGCUUUGAUCUAGGACUUCCCAGCCUCCAAAACU